UUUUUUCAAUUUUCAAAUACGGAGGAAAAGAAACCAACAGGGAUUGCCCUAGUAACGGCGAGUGAAGCGGCAACAGCUCAAAUUUGAAAGCUGGCCUUCGGGUCCGCAUUGUAAUUUGUAGAGGAUGCUUUGGGGCAGCCGCCUGUCUAAGUUCCUUGGAACAGGACGUCAUAGAGGGUGAGAAUCCCGUAUGUGACAGGACAUGGCACCCUAUGUAAAGCUCCUUCGACGAGUCGAGUUGUUUGGGAAUGCAGCUCUAAAUGGGAGGUAAAUUUCUUCUAAAGCUAAAUAUUGGCGAGAGACCGAUAGCGCACAAGUAGAGUGAUCGAAAGAUGAAAAGCACUUUGGAAAGAGAGUUAAAAAGCACGUGAAAUUGUUGAAAGGGAAGCGCUUGCAAUCAGACUUGUUUAAACUGUUCGGCCGGUCUUCUGACCGGUUUACUCAGUUUGGGCAGGCCAGCAUCAGUUUUGGCGGCCGGAUAAAGGCCUAGGGAAUGUGGCCCUCGCUUCGGCGGGGGUGUUAUAGCCCUAGGUGUAAUACGGCCAGCCGGGACUGAGGUCCGCGCUUCGGCUAGGAUGCUGGCGUAAUGGUUGUAAGCGACCCGUCUAAAACCCGGGGACCAAA
rnacentral:rRNA from 1 species